CUCAGGUCAGUUUGUCAGGUGUAAUGUAGGUGGCAGCAUGUCAACAGAAUAACUGCUGUUACCUAUGUCUGCCAUCAGCGAGUUAGCUCAGUUAGCUAUGCAACUAGUGGUUCACACUGGGAACUUGAAGUAGGAGUGUUGUUGUUGUUUACACUGCAAGCACAAGAGCUUUGCUGCCAGGAGGAGCGUUUCGGGGUGGAAACCAGAAGGGAACGCUGGACAGGGUUUCUGUUUGCCUCCUGUGUUCUUGUGCUCCUGCACUCAUUUCCCUCCACACCUGUCUUGCAUCAGCCUCAUUACAGGCUGGACACACUGGCUGCAAGAGCAGUGUGUGUGUAGCUGAACGCCUGCUUUAUCUACAGGCUCACACAGUCACACCACUCUUCUGGAAUUGUUACCAAAAAGUUGUUGUAUGCAGCCUGCAGAACCCAUAGACUCAGACACAGCCCAUUCAAAGUUUACAGACCUCUCCAUCCUGCCUGCCUGCCCUGCUGAUUCCCAGCAUUUAAUAUGUUUGUUUAAAUAAAUCACCUUUGAAAU